GUUCCACUCGUAAUGUUACACACACACACACACACACACACACACACACACACACACACACACACACACACACACACACACACACACACACACAACAUUAAUACAAAUAGAUGCGCUGCAACAAAGCAACAGAGAUUGGGAUGCUCAUUCUUACAGAGCAUUAUAGUGAACAUGUGAGGCAGAGAUAAACAGACAGACGCAGACAGACAGAUUGAUUUAAAACACUUAGUAACAUGUACUUGUUAUAAGCAAUUCUAAGUGACCAUUACUUUCCCGUUCAUUCCCAUUCAUUGAAGCAUUUCAGUGUUGAGACGCAAAGGUAGUGUAAGUGUUGAGGCAGCGGUGGUAGUGGCCCCUUGACCUCGCAGCGAGGCAGGAAGGGGAGGCGAGGGACACCAGCAGUGACUGGCCUGAAGGCGCCUUGCGUCCCGCCUCCUCUGUGCGACCCUCUCCCUUGAUUGCCUUCAUGCAUCAAUCGCAGCAUGACUUGUGCUCCUCCUCUUCAGUCUCACUUAACUACCACCUUCAUAUUCUAGACACCGCUGAAUGUUGGCAAGCUUUACAUUUAUUAUUUUUGCUUCUUUUUAUUUUCUUAUUUGAUCUUGUUAUAUAUGUAAUGGUGUUUGUUCGUUUUAUUUUGUUGCAGCUGUUGUGCAUAUUUAACAUUCUCAGCGUUUGAAGUGUGUUCUGUUUUCAGUGUUGUUUUCCAUGUAUCCAUGUGUUCUUGCUUGGAGGAAUUUGACACGUUUUAUUUAUGACAUUUCGUGUUUUUGUUCAGUAUUUAUUCUUUCCUCUUUUGUUCAUGUGUAUGUUGUUAACUCAUGCAGUAAAUGAUUUCUGGUGGUUCUGUUUAUGAUGCUUCAUUUUUAGCUCUUUUUAGAAUAGUGAAGCUGCAUCACUUUUUUAUGUGGAUGUUUUGAUAUUUUCAGGAAAGGAUGGCAGGUGGUGCCGCGGUGAACACUCCCAACACAUGCAGGAGGAAAGAAAGGAUGGCAGGUGGUGCCGCGGUGAACACUCCCAACACAUGCAGGAGGAAACAGCGGCGGGAGCUUUUUCCUUCCUCGCGGCCAGACGACGCGGACUGGCUUUUUCCUGCUCUUCCUGACACACUCAC